rnacentral:lncRNA from 1 species
GGAAAACGACCAAAUAAACAUAUACUAGCUCUUAUAGUAGUCAAAGCAAGUUGGUUGUUUCCAUACAACUGAUCCUGAUCUAAUGGUUUAUGGGUCGAGCCAUAACUCACUAUUAAGAAAAAGAGUAAAAUGCAUGGAUGUCCAUUGUAAUUGCUAGCGUUUUUCAGUUUGGCCAUCAUAUUUUAAAAAGUGUAAACCACAGCCAUUAGACUCACCCGAGUGCGCCAAUACAAUCAUGAUUAGUUAUAUGUAUUUGAAUGAUUUAGCGUAUGUUUGACUAAUGACUCAUGGUCCCCCGUGUACAAAUUACAGAUGCCUUUCCAUUUAUAUUUUUUUCAUUUAUCCCCGUUUUCUCUCCUGAUUUUUUUCCAUCUACAAUCGUCCACUAUCCCCC